rnacentral:rRNA from 1 species
CCUACGGGGUGCAGCAGUGAGGAAUAUUGGUCAAUGGGCGCGAGCCUGAACCAGCCAAGUAGCGUGAAGGCUGACUUCCCUCCGUAUUGUAACCUUCUUUUAUAAAGGAAUAAAGUGAGGCACGUGUGCCUUUUUGUAUGUACUUUAUGAAUAAGGCUCGGCUAACUCCGUGCCAGCCGCCGCGGUAAUACGGAGGAUCCGAGCGUUAUCCGGAUUUAUUGGGUUUAAAGGGAGCGUAGAUGGGUUGUUAAGUCAGUCGUGAAAGGUUGCGGCUCAACCGUAAAAUUGCAAUUGAUACUGGCAGUCUUGAGUACAGUUGAGGUAGGCGGAAUUCGUGGUGUAGCGGUGAAAUGCUUAGAUAUCACGAAGAACUCCGAUUGCGAAGGCAGCUUACUAAACUGCCACUGACAUUGAUGCUCGAAAGUGUGGGUAUCAAACAGGAUUAGAUACCCGUGUAGUC